CAAGGAACUAAGAGUUUAUGGGGGAUACCUUGGCAUUCAGAAGCGAUGAAGGACGUGGUUACCGACGAUACGCUUCGGGGAGCUGGAAACAAGCUAUGAUCCGGAGGUCUCCGAAUGAGGCAACUUUUUAACUACUUAUUGAAUUCAUAGAUAAGAAAGAGCAAACCUAGAGAAUUGAAACAUCUUAGUACCUAGAGGAAAAGAAAGUAAAAACGAUUCCCUGAGUAGCGGCGAGCGAAACGGGAUUAGCCUAAACUUAAUUAUACAUUAAGGGUAGUGGGACAAUAAUAAAAGAUUUAAUGGAACGAUUAGAGGAAUAAGUUUGGAAUACUUAACCAUAGAGAGUGAUAGUCUCGUACUCGAAAAUUGAACCAAUUCAAUUGUAUCCCAAGUAGCAUGGAGCACGUGAAAUUCCGUGUGAAUCUGCGAGGACCACCUCGUAAGGCUAAAUAUUCCUGAAUGACCGAUAGUGAAACAGUACCGUGAGGGAAAGGUGAAAAGAACCCUGAAUAAGGGAGUGAAAUAGAUCCUGAAACCAUACGCUUACAAGCGGUCGGAGCCCUUUAGUGGGGUGACGGCGUGCCUUUUGCAUAAUGAGCCUACGAGUUACCGUUGCCAGCAAGGUUAAGCAGUUCAGCUGUGGAGCCGUAGCGAAAGCGAGUCUGAAUAGGGCGCUUUAGUUGGUAGUGGUAGACGCGAAACCGUGUGAUCUACCCUUGGGCAGGUUGAAGCUGUGGUAACACAUAGUGGAGGACCGAACCCGUUGACGUUGAAAAGUCUUGGGAUGACCUGAGGGUAGGGGUGAAAGGCCAAUCAAACUCGGAAAUAGCUCGUACUCCCCGAAAUGCAUUUAGGUGCAGCGAUAUAGAUAGUUUUAUAGAGGUAGAGCUACUGAUUGGAUGCGGGGGCUUCACCGCCUACCAAUUCCUGACAAACUCCGAAUGCUAUAAAAUGAUUCAUAUCAGUGAGGGCAUGGGUGCUAAGGUCCAUGUCCGAGAGGGAAAGAACCCAGACCAUCAGCUAAGGUCCCAAAAUAUAUGUUAAGUUGAAGAAACGCGGUUGAACUGCCCAGACAGCUAGGAUGUUGGCUUGGAAGCAGCCAUUCAUUUAAAGAGUGCGUAACAGCUCACUAGUCGAGCGGUUCGGCAUGGAUAAUAAUCGGGCAUAAACAUAUUACCGAAGCUAUGGACUAUAGUUUACUAUAGUGGUAGGGGAGCAUUGUAACAGAGAUGAAGGUGAGUCGCGAGGCUUGCUGGAUCGGUUACAAAAGAAAAUGUAGGCAUAAGUAACGAUAAUGCGGGCGAGAAACCCGCACACCGAAAGACUAAGGUUUCCUCAGCUAUGCUAAUCAGCUGAGGGUUAGUCGGGACCUAAGGCGAACCCGAAAGGGGUAGUCGAUGGACAAGCAGUUAAUAUUCUGCUACUUGCCCCACGUUAAAGCGGACGGAGGCGUAAAUUUGGUGCGUACUGACGGAAUAGUACGUUGAAGGGAGUGGUAACACCCCGAUAGUACACAAAAGCUACGGCCAGCGUGAUAAUCCAGAGGAGCGACUUCCAAGAAAAGCGAGUGGAGGCAACCCGUACCCUAAACCGACACAGGUAGUUGGGAUGAGAAUUCUAAGGUGCUCGAGAGAUUCAUGGCUAAGGAACUAGGCAAAAUUGGCCCGUAACUUCGGGAGAAGGGUCGCCCCCCUUAUGGGGGGCCGCAGUGAAAAGAUCCAGGCGACUGUUUAUCAAAAACACAGGGCUCUGCUAAAUCGAAAGAUGACGUAUAGGGCCUGACACCUGCCCGGUGCUGGAAGGUUAAGGGGAGAUGUUAGCUUCGGCGAAGCAUUGAACUGAAGCCCCAGUAAACGGCGGCCGUAACAAUAACGGUCCUAAGGUAGCGAAA
rnacentral:rRNA from 1 species